UUAGUAUAUAAGGCUCCGUCUGCUACUGCCACGCAUUCAGAAUACGACUAGGAUUUGGUCAAGAUACGAAAACCUCCUCCUACAACUGUCAACAUGAAGGUGUUCUUCUCCGCGAUGGUCCUCUUGGUGGCCCUGUUGACCAUCUUCGCCUCCACAGAGGCGAUGCCCGAACCCAAAGCUGACCCCUGGGGAGGCCUGGGAUAUGGGUACACCAGCAUCUACAGGCCUUACACUUACUCCUACAGCAUCUACAGACCUCUCAUAAGCUAUGGGUACGGGUGGUGAUCGCUGAAUCCUUUUCUGAAGAUAUGUAAAUGGUUUCCUUCUAAUCUGUACGAAUUCUAAAUACACUGGAAUAAGUAAA